GUGGGGAAUCUUGCGCAAUGGGCGAAAGCCUGACGCAGCAACGCCGCGUGUGUGAUGAAGGUCUUCGGAUCGUAAAGCACUGUCGCGAGGGACGAAUAAGGCCUCGGCCAAUACCCGGGGACGAUGACGGUACCUCGAAAGGAAGCACCGGCUAACUCUGUGCCAGCAGCCGCGGUAAUACAGAGGGUGCUAGCGUUGUUCGGAAUUAUUGGGCGUAAAGCGCGUGUAGGCGGUCUACCAAGUUGGGUGUGAAAGCCCUCGGCUUAACCGAGGAAGUGCGCCCAAAACUAGCAGACUCGAGUACCGGAGAGGGUGGCGGAAUUCCCGGUGUAGAGGUGAAAUUCGUAGAUAUCGGGAGGAACACCAGCGGCGAAGGCGGCCACCUGGACGGAUACUGACGCUGAGACGCGAAAGCGUGGGGAGCAAACAGGAUUAGAAACCCGGGUAGUCC
rnacentral:rRNA from 1 species